AGAAUGAACGUUGGCGGCGUGGAUUAGGCAUGCAAGUCGGACGGGCCGCAAGGCCAGUGGCGCAAGGGUGAGUAAGGCGACGGUAACCAACCCCGUGGAUGGGCAUAGCCGAGGGAAACUUCGGGUAAUUCCCAGCGAAGUGGCGACCCGGCAUCGGGAGGCCACCAAAGAUUCAUCGCCACGGGACGGGCCGUUGUGGUAUUAGCUUGUUGGCGGGGUGACGGCCCACCAAGGCGGCGAUGCCUACCGGGCGUGCGAGCGUGGCCCGGCACACUGGGACUGAGACACUGCCCAGACUCCUACGGGAGGCUGCAGUCGAGAAUCUUCGGCAAUGGGCGCAAGCCUGACCGAGCGACGCCGCGUGGAGGAUGAAGGCCUUCGGGUUGUAAACUCCUGUCGAGGGGGAGGAAGGCGCAAGCUUGACCGAUCCCGUGGAGGAGCACGGGCUAAGUUCGCGCCAGCAGCCGC
rnacentral:rRNA from 1 species